GUUGUUUUUGCAGAUUGUUUGCUUUAACUGGUUACAUGCUUUGUAUGCAGGUAUGAAAAAUAAUGAUAAAUGAGGGCCCUCAUGGGGUUUUUGAUUAUGUGAUUACUUGGCCGUUUUUUUAAUGAUUAUUUGAUUAUUAAGCCAAAUAUUUCAUGAUUAUUUGAUUACCUAGGACUGUAUUUUUAGUUUAUGAUUAUUUGAUUACUAAAGAUAAGCAAAUAUUUAAUGAUUAUGUGAUUAUAUUGGCAAAAAAAUGGUGAUUAUGUGAUUACUAGGACCCCCCCAUGAGGGGCCUCAUAAAUGAUCCUUUCUGUGAUAACCUGGUACCAUUUAGAAAGAAAAAGCAUAUUAAGUGUUAAUGUUUAUAUUGUAGGCCAGGAUUCAGACGUGUUUUCAAUAUUAUUUUUGAAAUAUAGAGGAUAUACUUUCCAAUGACACCAUUUUUAACCAUAAAUUUAUCUAAAUA
rnacentral:lncRNA from 1 species